rnacentral:tRNA from 1 species
GCCUUCGUGGUGUAGAAGUCAGCACGCUUGGCGCGUAUUCGAGAGGUCAGUGGUUCGAGUCCCGGCGAGGGUA